rnacentral:rRNA from 1 species
GAUGAACGCUGGCGGCGUGCUUAACACAUGCAAGUCGAACGGAAAGGCCCAAGCUUGCUUGGGUUCUCGAGUGGCGGACGGGUAAGUAACACGUAGACAACCUGCCCUACACUUCGGGGUAAGCCAGGGUAGGUGGACCUACUACCAGAUAGCAUCCCUUCUUGGGUGGUGUGGAGGAGAGUUUUUGCGGUGUGGGGUGAGCUGGCGGCCUAUCCGCUUGUUGGUGGGGUAAUGGCCUACCAAGGCGUCGGCGGGUAGCCGGCCUGAGAGGGUGUACGGCCACAUUGGGACUGAGAUACGGCCCAGACUCCUACGGGAGGCAGCAGUGGGGAAUAUUGCACAAUGGGCGCAAGCCUGAUGCAGCGACGCCGCGUGGGGGAUGACGGCCUUCGGGUUGUAAACUCCUUUCGCGAGGGACGAAGCGUGUUGUGACGGUAUCUGGAGAAGAAGCACCGGCUAACUACGUG